rnacentral:rRNA from 1 species
UGGGCCCGUUUGAUCCUGGCUCAGAUUGAACGCUGGCGGCAUGCCUUACUCAUGCAAGUCGAACGGCAGCACGGGGGCAACCCUGGUGGCGAGUGGCGAACGGGUGAGUAAUACAUCGGAACGUGUCCUGUAGUGGGGGAUAGCCCGGCGAAAGCCGGAUUAAUACCGCAUACGCUCUGCGGAGGAAAGCGGGGGAUCCUUCGGGACCUCGCGCUACAGGGGCGGCCGAUGGCAGAUUAGCUAGUUGGUGGGGUAAAGGCCUACCAAGGCGACGAUCUGUAGCUGGUCUGAGAGGACGACCAGCCACACUGGGACUGAGACACGGCCCAGACUCCUACGGGAGGCAGCAGUGGGGAAUUUUGGACAAUGGGCGCAAGCCUGAUCCAGCAAUGCCGCGUGUGUGAAGAAGGCCUUCGGGUUGUAAAGCACUUUUGUCCGGAAAGAAAACCUCGUGGUUAAUACCCGUGGGGGAUGACGGUACCGGAAGAAUAAGCACCGGCUAACUACGUGCCAGCAGCCGCGGUAAUACGUAGGGUGCAAGCGUUAAUCGGAAUUACUGGGCGUAAAGCGUGCGCAGGCGGUUCGCUAAGACAGAUGUGAAAUCCCCGGGCUUAACCUGGGAACUGCAUUUGUGACUGGCGGGCUAGAGUAUGGCAGAGGGGGGUAGAAUUCCACGUGUAGCAGUGAAAUGC